GCUGGAGCCAAGCACCCUGGUGCUCAGUUGUGUGCAAUUGCAGCUGGAUAAUGGUUUGAUUAUGGCUAUAGCAUGGCCAGGCAGGGCCCUUCUUCCACCACCUGGACCUUCACAGCCAAAACUGAUUCUGGGAACCAAUGGCCCUUCCAAGAGCUGGGUUUGGAGCCUUCCCUUGGAAUGAAGAACCCUCCCCAACUGGAGGGUGAUGAUCUCGAAGGUCCAGCUGACAACACGCAUGGGUGUCAAGUCAUUGGCCACGUCCAUGCCUCAAGUGUCCUGAAACAGAUUAUCAAAAGAAAACUGCUGUUGAGCAAGUUCAGACUGGCAUGCAGAUUCCCUCGCCUUCAAGCUUAAGAUAUCAACUACUGUUGGAAUUAGGGAAAGAAUAAAAAUAAGCCACGAAAAGUAGCUUUUCCACCUGAUGAAAAUACCUAAAACCGCAAAUCAAGUAUAAGAAUGUAAUAUUGAUUUAACAUACAACCUUCAACAAAAAUAAAGUUUAUACAACUCACUAGGAAAUAAAAUGCAUGUAGAAUUUAUCCUGUUUGUCAACGUAAUUCUUCAUGAGUCACAAGUAUUAUAGCCAAG
rnacentral:lncRNA from 1 species